rnacentral:rRNA from 1 species
GCCUGCGUGAAGUCGGAAUCGCUAGUAAUCGCGGAUCAGCAUGCCGCGGUGAAUACGUUCCCGGGCCUUGUACACACCGCCCGUCACACCAUGAGAGUCGGGAACACCCGAAGUCCGUAGCCUAACCGAAAGGGGGCGCGGCCGAAGGUGGGUUCGAUAAUUGGGGUGAAGUCGUAACAAGGUACC